UACUAAUGAAAUCUGACAUCACAAAUCCAUUUAUACUAGUUUCUCUUAAACAGAAACAUCCAAAAGCAAGGACAAUGUCAAUGAAGAUUCUGUUGAUUCUCAAUACUGUAUUGGCAUACAUUCUGUUGACAACAUGGAUUUGCACAGUUUGUUACUGUGUAACAUGUUCAGUGAAAUCGCUCAUAUUAAGCAAAAAUCAUAAAGUGGAAGAUAGCAAUUGUCAUACAUGACACACUAAUUGUGUUAUGCCAGUAAUGUAGCUGCAAAUGCAAUGUUGGGAUUAGGCAACUUGGUUUCAUAGCCGAGUGCAUGCCAGUAAUUGUUUGGAGGCGCAGUGCUGCCACUGAAGUGUUUGAGGAAGAAACACAUGAACAGAAAAAGGAAACAUUCAGUACAGAGGAAGAUACUGUUGCAAACUUGCAGUUGCAAAACAAGAGACUGAAAGCAGAUGUGAGUUUUUAUAGUGAUGUCUCUAUUAUCAUUAGUAAAAUCCACUAGUGAGAAAUGUGUUAUAAUAAUUGUCAUUUACAUAUAUUUCAAUGGAUUUCCAGGAAAUGUAAAUCUGAUACCACAGUGUUUUUUGGGAUUGUGUGUAAAUAAUCCUUGUGUAAAUUUGAGUUUACAAAAAAAUCUCCCAGUUUUAGCAAGUUCAUCAUACU